UCUCGUCUUCUGCUGUCUUUCCCAUCUGGUAUGUCGCCCGCCUGCUCUAUCCCUUCCAGAGUCCGGACUCCCUGGUUUUGCAAGAUUGGCCGCUGCUGGGCUGCUACCUGGCUGGAUCGGUCCCCUGCUGGCUCGCUUCUCCCAGAUCGCCACUGACGCCCCUGCUGCCGCGCGCAUCUCUUGCCUGCUGUCCCGCCGCUAGGACUCCGGUUGAAGGCUGCGCCUGCGUCUCCGCCGCUUCUGCCUGCCCGUCGCCUCUUCUGCGCAACACACCUUGGCUGUGUCCGCUCCUCAGCGCUGCUCUGGUCAGCUGCUUCGCUGCUGUAUUCCUGUUGGCUGCUGAUUGAUUAUUCAUUGGGUGCUUGCAUAGCAUUGUCCAUCUCGUUAGCAGGCUGCGUUUUUGCAUUGCGGUGGAUUAUCAUAAUCCUGUUUGCCCAACCUGAUUUUGCCUAUUUCCGUGCCUAAUUUUCUACAGCCAAUUGUAAAGUAAGCACAGUGCAGCAUAGUUCAGCAAAAGCAAACCGAGCCUAAGAGAAUAUGCCUUUUUCUGAGCUGGGAUGUGUUUUCUUGAAGCAGGUUAUUAUUUGGCUCAGUAGCUCUGCUAAGACUUGGUGGUUAGCCACUUUUUUCGAUCUUAGGUACUGACAUCGGGUAUUCAGGAGCUCUGCGUGCUACAUCAAGUACUUCACAAUCAGGAGAAGCAAGUACUUCCAAUCAAUCGCAGAACGACCAAUAAUUGCAAUGGCCAAACAAUCAGGAUCUCUCAGCACCUCAGCCUUUUAUUUCACAUGGUCCUGUCAGCUCAACAACAAGCAACAGGGACCUUGAAAAUUCACUACAAAAGACUUACGAAAACGCUAUAAGGAGCCAGAUAGAGAUGUUGCAAAUCCAAUUGCAAAUGGUGCAGCAAGAGGCAACAGCAUUGGCAACUAACAAUGAGAAUGCUGAACAAGCAAAAAAUGAGUGAAGUGGCAUAUAUGGUGAAGCGUGAUCUUGAUAAACAUGCAGAGAGUAUAGAUGGAGAUUUUGCAAUGCCUUUGGUGGGGGCUCGCUUAUGUAAAUGUUAGCACCCCUAUCAACAUCAGAUGUUUGUUCGUUUAAUGUGCUAGUUUGCGUAGCUUAAAUCUUGCUGUCAAACCAGGAUUAUACCUUAGAAAGAAAGGGAGUCAUGUUGUAGAGCUGACUAAUUUGACAACAUCUGUGAGACCAAGCAAAAAUGCAUCUGCUGGGGAACAUUUUUCAACAUGCUAUCAGAACUAAACCUUCUAUAUAGAAAAUGCCCUCGGUUCUGCCCCUGUCCAACAAAUUUGCCCGUGUGAUGAUUGUAAAUAAAUGUGUGGUAUGAUCGGAUGUAAAUUUUCUUGAUUUGUGUGUUUGGAUGAUCCAAAUUUACAUGCUUUCACUUUGGCGGUAUGUCAGAUACUGUAAUAUCAGCUAAGAGCAGCAAUGAUAGGCCCCUUAUGUUU